rnacentral:lncRNA from 1 species
UAUGGAGGAAAUGUGAUAAAGCUCUUGAAAACUAGUGCUACAGAAUUAUGACCUCAUGUUACUUCUAGGUAUGACAGAUGGAAGCAUGACAGCUGUCAUUCAGAAUGACUGAUGAAUGGAAAAACCAUUGACUGAAGAAUGAUGUAAAACUGAACAGGAUCUCCCUUUUCAUCACCCUUAAUGCUGCUUACUGAGAAUGUGCAGCCUCAAAGUGAGAAAGAAGCAGUUGUUCAAAUAAGAUCUCUGACUGCUGAAGUGCUGAUCCCCUUGAUUAUGAAUAAAACUACUAAAAAGGAGAUAAAGUGUCAAUAUUAAACAAACAUAAUUACAAAUUCAAUAAGAAAAAUAUUGCUCUUCUCUACCUGCAUACAGUAUUACAGAAGAUGAGAAAUCUGAAGAUUUUACUGCAAAUUAUUAAUCACUAAAACCUAAAACCAAGAAAUAACUAUAUACUAAGAUAUGCUAUUUUUUCUCUUG